ensembl:lncRNA
CCCUUAUGGCUGCUCUGGCUGAACUACAGUUUCCGGUUGAUGGCAGUCAGGUCUCGCGAGUCUCUGGCGGCUCAACAGUGAUCGCGCGCGAACAGCACAGCUGUACUGAGGUAACCAGAAAACUGCGUUUUUUGCGUCGAUCUGAUCUUCAAACUCGGUUUUUAAAACGAUGGACAUGUUGGACAUGUUAUUACAACAAACAGACUGUCGACAUUCCGAGAGAGAGUGAAUAUCUUGGUUCUCAGUGAGGUUACUACCAAAUCUGUCUCUAUGAAACUGCGGCGCAAGACAGUCCUGAGAAGCAGAAGGCUUCAACAGCAAGAGCAUGUGAAGGACUCUGUGGUGCUGAGUGACACUGACUCUAGUGUGGAGGAUAUAAAAGACAAUGUGUCUGUUAUUCGUGAUAUGAAGAGGCCAGUAAGGAAGAGUAGAGCUGGUGCAUCAUGUCGAGCGAGAAAAGAAUAUGAGAGACAGCUUUCUGAUGUGGAACCACAGCAUGGAGCGGUUCAGAAGAUCUCCCUGGCUCCAGAUGCUAUCGCUGAGGACACUCUAGGGAAACUCAGGCUGAGGGCUAACACCUCUGAGACCAAGACUGAGGUUGAGUCUCGAGGAGAGCUUGAGUCUGUUUUGGAAGAAUCCAGUACCGAUCUCAUGGUGGAAUCGGGUCCCAGCUCGCCCUCUUGUCAUGUUUAUACUGUAAGAUGCAGAGAAUGCCAGAGACUUUUCGCCAAGAUGAGAAAACAGCCGACCCCAAAACAGAAAAGCAAAGAUACAAAUCCAGCAUCUUUAUCUUGUGAUGUGUGGGUUCUGCUUAAGAAGUGGCACCCUCAGAGACGCCACCAUCGGGAGAAGGGAUUAUUGUGGACAAGCCUGAGUCGGAUCAGGAAGCUGUUAGCAGGAGGCUCUGAUUCUUCAGUCAUCAACACAGCUCAAGCAAACUGCUCCAGACCUCAUGUGUUUCAGCAGAGAAAUUUGCGUCGCUGCAAGGAUCUGCUCUCCAUUCAGACCAACCUGUCCAUUAACAAAGCCAAACCACGGCAUCGUAAGAGGUCACGAUCUGUGGUCUGGCCGCCCAUCGCUGGCUGGCAGUCUUCUGUGAAAAGGAAGCCUUCCUUGAACAGCACAUUAUCUCAGCAGCUUUAUCCACUCGACCUUAGUGUGAAGCAGAAGGACAAACUUCUUGUAGAUGACAAGAUUUCAAGAUUAAAUGCAGAUUUGAAGCAGAACUCAGAGGUCUCUAGCAAACAGAGGACGACUUAUGUCCGGGGUAAAUCGAACAAGCAGGAAGUGUCUGAUGGCAUAGAUGGAACGCGGCGGGUGCUGAAGUUUGAUGACACCACUAAAACUGUUGCUGUGGAAACAGCGGAACAGAGGAAAAGCCCUCGGCAGAAGCACAAACGUGGAGAGAUUCGUCAAGCUCAGAACGGUUUCCAGAAUGAGCAGCAGGAAGAGAUUUCUGAGGAUUUGGAUGGGUUCAGGACACCCACAGAUCUGUUCAGCGUGAAGCCCAAGAUUAAACGAGGGAACCAGAAGAAAGUGUCUGCGUCUGGUGUUACAAAACCUGCCGUACAGAAGCCCAACUUCAUGUCAAUGUUAUCCACACUGGUGAAGAAUCAGAACCAGAUUAUUAAGGAAUCCUGCAAAUGAGUCUCUAUUGAAGUUUUGUAAUUAGGGCUUUUAGUCAUUUUGUUUAAUUGAAGAGACACGUCACAACUGUAAAGGUUUGCUAAUUCUGUUAAUAGAUAUCAUCAAAAGUCUGCUGAUGUUUAUUUAUUGUUCCAGUUGUUUGUGUUCUAACAUUAGCAUUUGCAUGAGUAAAUAAGUCUUGUUUUAGUAUGCUGUUGACUUCACAGUGGCUUGAACCGCAGUUACUGUAAUAACCACAGAGCGGAGCUGUUUCCAAAUAAACUUGCAUAUCUUCACUCCUAUAUUUUUAAAUAUUACAAUAUAUGACUUAAAAAAUAUAUUUUCUCACACUUUUAUCAAACUGAUUUAAGGUGAUGGUAAGCGAAACGUGUGUGGAUUUUUAUUUUUUGUGGGUUAAAUUUUCAAUAGCUUUUUGCUACCAAGCCACCCUGAGAAACAUUCACUGGAUCUUAGACUAUCCCAAUUAACUAUCCCAAUAUUUAUAACAAAUAAAUAAUAAUAAAAAAAAAAUCUUAAUAUAAUACUAUGGAAAUGUUAUAUUUACAUAAAAUUUAUUUUAUUUUUGCAGGGUCUCAUGAUGAUAAAAGAGCCAAAAUGCUUCAGAAUAACUUUUUUAACUCGAAAAUAAAAACUGCCCACAAGGCAAGUCUUCUGCUGUUUUAACACUCAGUGGUUUUAAAUUGAUUUACAUACAUAAAAAGCUUUAAAGUGUGAUGUGUGCUGUUAUUGGUGCUGAUGUUGAGGGGUUGGGCUCAGUGACUCCACUGUCACAACCUAAAAGCGCACUGAUCCAUCACACAACAUCACUUUAGGAAGAGCGAGCGGGCAAGGAUGCAGCAAAACCGGACUUUUACCCAGGGGACUGCUUAGAGAGCAGUUUUAUUAUUGUUAUUAUUAUAAUUUUCUUUUAGAUGGACAAUCACAUCCACACAUAAUCGUGUUAAGGUUAUGUGAGUGUUGCAGAGGAAAGCCAUGCAACCAAAUGAGCAGAGCUAAGAGGAUUUAAUGCAGCUGGACAUGAACCACGCUGAGUAAAGAAGAAGAUUAUAUUCUUUUAAUCAAAUGCAAAGAAGUUUUUAUUGCUGGUCACUUUGAGUUUGGACUGUCGAGGAGCGAUGUUUGUCUUCAUCUCUUUGUGCACUCCGAUAACUACACUAUAAGUAUGCUCACUGCACAGAGAUGUAUGGGUUCAACUCUACAGUAAAGGGGUGAGUUAUACUACAACUGAUUACUGAUUAUUACACAUAAUUUGCUAUUUUAUUUAUAUGGUAAAGCUUUUGCGUUACUUAGUUUGGUGCCCUUAUUUCAUGUAAUAUCAUGACUUUAUAUAACAACAAAAAAAAAAAAAACUAUAAACCUCUUCUCAAAAUAAUUGCUUGUUCAUUAAUAUUGCUCAGUACUUAUUUGGGAACUUGACAUUUUAAGCUGUGAAAGCUCUGCGGUUUCCUGCAGUGUCAUUCUGUGCUCCAUUUAAAGCUAAUUUAAACAACAUUACUGUAAUUUUAUUGAACGUUUUUAUGACUUCAAGAGGCUGCAUGGUGUGUUUGUAAUUUUUAACAUUUAUUUGUCACACCGCAGGAUCUGCGAAAACAUUAAGAGGUUAAUAAAAUGGUAAAAGCUUAAUUAAAACAGUAAACCAGUUUUAUAGCUUUUUACUUUCUGUUUACAUUCAUAUACAUUUUAACUUGUUUGCAACAUAAUUAUACCGUUAAAUGAAAUAACAUAACUUUUGACCAUUUCUUGUUAUUUGUUGUUUGUUUGUUAACACUAAUUUCCUAUAUUUCCUCAUAUCUUGAGCAUGAUAGGUUUUGUGCUUUUAGGAAUACUGACACAAGACCUUGCCACGGGUGGACCUGAUCUUUACUAAACCAGAUCUGGACUCAAAAAACACAUGAAGAUGUGCCAGUGUUAUUCUGCCCUGCUUAUGAUCUGCUUCCACAUGGUGACAUGUGGAGCAGAGCUCAGAGCAGCUGUGUCUCCUCUGGGUUUGGGAGAGAGUGAUAAGGAGGAAAGCGUCUCUCCUUACGGCUCUCAUUCAGGCAUUCUCAAAUCCCUGCGGCUUUUCUCCCACAUGUCCCAAUCUAACAGCCAGAGCCGUGAAACUGCUCAGGACCUUGGGGCACUGGAUCUGUGGGCUUGGUUAUCCAACCACACUGAUACCGAAGGAACCCUCUCGAGGGCCAAACGUCGUCCCUAUGUGAAAACUGGCAAGUUUAAGAAGAUGUUUGGCUGGGGCGACUUCCAUUCGAACAUCAAAACGGUCAAGCUAAACCUUCUCAUUACUGGGAAAAUUGUUGACCAUGGCAACGGAACCUUUAGUGUCUAUUUCCGCCACAAUUCCACCGGCUUGGGCAACGUGUCCGUCAGCCUGGUCCCACCCUCCAAGGCUGUCGAUUUUGAGAUCACUCAACAGGAAACCAUAGAUGUACCUAAAGACAAUAAGGCCUUCAAUUGUCGAGUGGAAUAUGAGAAGACGGACCGCAGCAAGAGGACGUCCGUUUGCAGUGACUUCCCGAACAGGGUAUGUUUCCAGGAACAGACCCAAAGCCAUGUGUCUUGGCUUUGCUCCAAGCCCUUCAAGGUCAUCUGCAUCUACAUUGACUUCUUCAGUGCAGACUACAAGCUCGUACAGAAGGUCUGCCCAGACUACAACUACCACAGUGAGACUCCCUAUACCUCUGUGGGAUAGCACAGCCUAGACUGGAUGUGUUGAGGUAACUGAGGUGUCGUCACAUUGUUACAGUCUCUCUAGCCUGUAGUUUCCUUGUUCUGUUCCACAAAGAACCACAUAAAUGGAAGCAAGGCCAGACUGAGGAACCACUGUUUUGAUUCUAUCUUACUUGUCCUUCUAGGGCUGUCGAGGACAGGAAUAGUUCACCCAAAAAAGACAUGUUAUUUCUGUUAUCAUUUUCCACAGAAGAAAGUCAGUCAACAUGAGGGAGAAUAAAUGACAGAAUUUGAAUUUUUGGAUGAACCCAUGCUUAACCCAGGCUGAUUUACGAUUUACAGUAUGCAGUUCACACUUAGCUUGGACAUGAUCAACACAUCUAUGGUUUCUAACAGUGACCCCCUGACCCUUUCUCAGUGAAUCUUGUGAUGUCAUCAGUGUGAUGUUUUAAAAUAUCCAAAUCAAAUGUAAGCUGUGAUUCAAGAACAAAAAAAAAAAAAAAAACUUGUAUUGCAGCCAUUUGUGACGCCCUCCUUUUCAUGCCAACAUAUUUUUGUGUUCACUGAAACAUUGCUAUAACUAAGAUUGAUGUUGAAGCCAUAAUGUGCUCCUCCAUUCUUUUGUCUCUGUUAUUAAAGAAAAGACUAGAUUUUAGUUUCCAGAAUGCUCC